rnacentral:rRNA from 1 species
UAAUACGAAGGAUGCAAGCGUUAUCCGGAAUUAUUGGGUUUAAAGGGUGCGUAGGCGGACCUGUAAGUCAGUGGUGAAAGCCUGUUGCUCAACAACAGAACUGCCAUUGAUACUGCAAGUCUUGAGUACAGUUGAGGUAGGCGGAAUGUGUCAUGUAGCGGUGAAAUGCUUAGAUAUGACACAGAACACCGAUUGCGAAGGCAGCUUGCUAAGCUGUAACUGACGCUGAUGCACGAAAGCGUGGGGAGCAAACAGGAUUAGAUACCCUGGUAGUCCACGCCCUAAACGAUGAUAACUCGCUGUUGGCGAUACACAGCCAGCGGCCAAGCGAAAGCAUUAAGUUAUCCACCUGGGGAGUACGACCGCAAGGUUG